rnacentral:rRNA from 1 species
GACGAACGCUGGCGGCGUGCUUAACACAUGCAAGUCGAACGGAAAGGCCCUGCUUUUGUGGGGUGCUCGAGUGGCGAACGGGUGAGUAACACGUGAGUAACCUGCCCUUGACUUUGGGGUAACUUCAGGAAACUGGGGCUAAUACCGGAUAGGAGCUCCUGCUGCAUGGGGGGGGUUGGAAAGAUUCGGCGGUUGGGGAUGUAGUCGCGGCUUAUCAGCUUGUUGGUGGGGUAGUGGCUUAACAAGGCUUUGACGGGUAGCCGGCUUGGGAGGGUGACCGGCCACAUUGGGCCUGAGAUGCGGCCCAGAGUGCUUCGGGAGGCAUCAGUGGGGGUUAUUGCACGAUGGGCGGAGGCCGGAUGCAGGAAUGUCGCGUGGGGGAUGACUGCCGUCGGGGUGUAAACCGCUUGCGCCUGUGACGAAGCGUGAGUGACGGUAAUGGGUAAAGAAGCACCGGCUAACUACGUG